rnacentral:rRNA from 1 species
AACGAACGCUGGCGGCAUGCCUAACACAUGCCAGUCGAACGAGACCUUCGGGUCUAGUGGCGCACGGGUGCGUAACGCGUGGGAACCUGCCCUUAGGUUCGGAAUAACUCCCCGAAAGGGGUGCUAAUACCGGAUAAUGUCUUCGGACCAAAGAUUUAUCGCCUUUGGAUGGGCCCGCGUUGGAUUAGCUAGUUGGUAGGGUAAAAGCCUACCAAGGCGACGAUCCAUAGCUGGUCUGAGAGGAUGAUCAGCCACACUGGGACUGAGACACGGCCCAGACUCCUACGGGAGGCAGCAGUGGGGAAUAUUGGACAAUGGGCGAAAGCCUGAUUCAGCAAUGCCGCGUGAGUGAUGAAGGCCUUAGGGUUGUAAAGCUCUUUUACCCGGGAUGAUAAUGACAGUACCGGGAGAAUAAGCUCCGGCUAACUCCGUG